UACGGAGGGUGCAAGCGUUAAUCGGAAUUACUGGGCGUAAAGCGCACGCAGGUGGCUGAGUCAGUCGAUUGUGAAAGCCCUGGGCUUAACCUGGGAAUUGCAGUCGAUACUACUCAGCUAGAGUAUGGGAGAGGGAAGCGGAAUUUCCGGUGUAGCGGUGAAAUGCGUAGAUAUCGGAAGGAACACCAGUGGCGAAGGCGGCUUCCUGGACUAAUACUGACGCUGAGGUGCGAAAGCGUGGGGAGCAAACAGG
rnacentral:rRNA from 1 species